rnacentral:rRNA from 1 species
UACGGAGGGGGCUAGCGUUAUUCGGAAUUACUGGGCGUAAAGCGCACGUAGGCGGCUUUGUAAGUCAGAGGUGAAAGCCUGGAGCUCAACUCCAGAACUGCCUUUGAGACUGCAUCGCUUGAAUCCAGAGAGGUGAGUGGAAUUCCGAGUGUAGAGGUGAAAUUCGUAGAUAUUCGGAAGAACACCAGUGGCGAAGGCGGCUCACUGGACUGGUAUUGACGCUGAGGUGCGAAAGCGUGGGGAGCAAACAGG